rnacentral:tRNA from 1 species
GCGGGGGUGGCAGAGCCUGGUCAAAUGCGCUAGCUUGAGGGGCUAGUCCCUUAGUGGGUGCGCGAGUUCGAACCUCGUCCCCCGCA